rnacentral:rRNA from 1 species
CAUGUCUUUUUGAUUAUGAUUUAAAGUCUAAUCUGCACAAUGAAAAUUUAAAUUGCCGCAGUAUUUUGACUGUGCAAAGGUAGCAUAAUAAUUAGUUUCUUGAUUAGAAACUGGUAUGAAUGAUUGGACAAGAAAAUUUCUGUUUCUUAUUAAUGGAUUUUUUAAUUUUAUUUUUAAGUUAAAAAGCUUAAAUGUGUAUAAAAGACGAGAAGACCCUAUAGAGUUUUAUAUUUAUUAAUAAUUAUGUAUUAGGAUUGAUUUUUUUUAUUGAGUAUUUGAUUGGGGUGAUAUAAAGAUUUAUAAAAUUCUUUAAAUUUUAAAUUGAUGAUUAUUAAAUUUUUUAUCUAAAUUUUUUUAAAUUUAAAAUUAAUUACCUUAGGGAUAACAGCGUAAUUUUUCUUUAAAGCUCUUAUUGAAAGGAAAUUUUGCGACCUCGAUGUUGGAUUAAAAUAAAUUUUUGGUGUAUCAACUUAAAAAUUAGGUCUGUUCGACCUUUAAAAUU